UAACAACAUCUUCAGGGUGCUAUUGCGGC
rnacentral:sRNA from 1 species